rnacentral:rRNA from 1 species
UGGGGAAUUUUGGACAAUGGGGGAAACCCUGAUCCAGCCAUCCCGCGUGUGCGAUGAAGGCCUUCGGGUUGUAAAGCACUUUUGGCAGGAAAGAAACGUCGCGGGUUAAUACCCCGCGGAACUGACGGUACCUGCAGAAUAAGCACCGGCUAACUACGUGCCAGCAGCCGCGGUAAUACGUAGGGUGCAAGCGUUAAUCGGAAUUACUGGGCGUAAAGCGUGCGCAGGCGGUUCGGAAAGAAAGAUGUGAAAUCCCAGAGCUUAACUUUGGAACCGCAUUUUUAACUACCGGGCUAGAGUGUGUCAGAGGGAGGUGGAAUUCCGCGUGUAGCAGUGAAAUGCGUAGAUAUGCGGAGGAACACCGAUGGCGAAGGCAGCCUCCUGGGAUAACACUGACGCUCAUGCACGAAAGCGUGGGGAGCAAACAGGAUUAGAUACCCUGGUAGUCCACGCCCUAAACGAUGUCAACUAGCUGUUGGGGUCUUCGGACCUUGGUAGCGCAGCUAACGCGUGAAGUUGACCGCCUGGGGAGUACGGUCGCAAGAUUAAAACUCAAAUGAAUUG